rnacentral:misc_RNA from 1 species
UCAAACUUGGUCAUUUAGAGGAAGUAAAAGUCGUAACAAGGUUUCCGUAGGUGAACCUGCGGAAGGAUCAUUAGUGAUUGCCUUAAUUGGCUUAAACUAUAUCCAUCUACACCUGUGAACUGUUUGAUUGAAUCUAACGAUUCAAUUUUUACAAACAUUGUGUAAUGAACGUCAUUAGAUCAUAACAUGAAAAAACUUUCAACAACGGAUCUCUUGGCUCUCGCAUCGAUGAAAGACACAGUCAAACUUGGUCAUUUAGAGGAAGUAAAAGUCGUAACAAGGUUUCCGUAGGUGAACCUGCGGAAGGAUCAUUAGUGAUUGCCUUAAUUGGCUUAAACUAUAUCCAUCUACACCUGUGAACUGUUUGAUUGAAUCUAACGAUUCAAUUUUUACAAACAUUGUGUAAUGAACGUCAUUAGAUCAUAACAUGAAAAAACUUUCAACAACGGAUCUCUUGGCUCUCGCAUCGAUGAAGAACGCAGC